rnacentral:rRNA from 1 species
CAGUAGCCGCGGGAAUACGAGGGGGGCAAGCGUUGUUCGGAAUUAUUGGGCGUAAAGGGCGCGUAGGCGGUUUGGCAAGUUUCGUGUGAAAUCUUCGGGCUCAACUCGAAGUCUGCACGGAAAACUGCCGGGCUUGAGUAUGGGAGAGGUGAGUGGAAUUUCCGGUGUAGCGGUGAAAUGCGUAGAUAUCGGAAGGAACACCUGUGGCGAAAGCGGCUCACUGGACCAUUACUGACGCUGAGGCGCGAAAGCUAGGGGAGCAAACAGGAUUAGAGACCCCUGUAGUCCCUGUCUCUUAUAC